rnacentral:rRNA from 1 species
UACGUAGGGGGCAAGCGUUGUUCGGAAUUACUGGGCGUAAAGGGCGCGUAGGCGGCACGGCAAGUCGGGAGUGAAAAGCCUGGGCUCAACCGAGGAACUGCUUUCGAGACUGCCGAGCUAGAGUGCGGAAGGGGCAACUGGAAUUCCCAGUGUAGCGGUGAAAUGCGUAGAUAUUGGGAAGAACACCUGAGGCGAAGGCGGGUUGCUGGGCCGACACUGACGCUGAGGCGCGAAAGCCAGGGGAGCAAACGGG